GAUGAACGCUGGCGGCGUGCCUAAUACAUGCAAGUCGAGCGAACGGACGAGAAGCUUGCUUCUCUGAUGUUAGCGGCGGACGGGUGAGUAACACGUGGAUAACCUACCUAUAAGACUAGGAUAACUUCGGGAAACCGGAGCUAAUACCGGAUGAUAUUUUGAACCGCAUGGUUCAAAAGUGAAAGACGGUCUUGCUGUCACUUAUAGAUGGAUCCGCGCUGCAUUAGCUAGUUGGUAAGGUAACGGCUUACCAAGGCAACGAUGCAUAGCCGACCUGAGAGGGUGAUCGGCCACACUGGAACUGAGACACGGUCCAGACUCCUACGGGAGGCAGCAGUAGGGAAUCUUCCGCAAUGGGCGAAAGCCUGUCGGAGCAACGCCGCGUGAGUGAUGAAGGUCUUCGGAUCGUAAAACUCUGUUAUUAGGGAAGAACAUAUGUGUAAGUAACUGUGCACAUCUUGACGGUACCUAAUCAGAAAGCCACGGCUAACUACGUG
rnacentral:rRNA from 1 species